rnacentral:lncRNA from 13 species
AAUCCCAUAUGAUGUUUCCUUAUAAAAGGGGGAAAUUUGGAUAGAGAGACGGACAAGCAUAGAGGGAGACAGUGGGGAGACGGGUGGGGAGCAACUCACCGUGAGACGGGAGCAUGCGUUUCUGAGCCGGGGGCCAGGAAGACCCUCCCCUGGGACCAUCAGGGAAGCAUGGCCCUGCCCACACCCUGACUUUGGACUUCUGGCCUCUAGAACUGUGAGGCAACAAAUUCAAUUGUCUUAAGCCUCUGAGUCUGUGGGGUUUGCUUGGCAGCUCUAGGAAAUGAAUGAUUCCACCUUCCUCCUGCUUGCCCUGGGCCAGGUGAAGUGAGGACUGGAGAAAAGCAGACCCUCUCUUUCUGGAUGGCCACUGCGGCUGCCAGGUUCAAGGAGAGGCUUUCAAGGUCUCUGUCAAGACAGCCACUGAGCCAGAGAAAGCCCAGGAUUGGAGCCCUGUGGACCCAAGUUCAAGUUCCUGCUUGGCUACUUACCCAGCUGUGGGUCUCAGGGAAGUGACCCAGCCUUUUCUAGCCUGUUUCCUCUGCUGGCUUUUAUGUGGUAAUGGAAGGUAAGGAAAAAAUUACCUGCUGCAGAGUCAUGUUCGGGGACACACCAGUCAUUGCCUGAAGCAUUUUGGGGCUGGCCCUGCCCUCUGAGCAUGCUGGAAGUGUGGGGGUGACACUCUGGUGAACACUGUGGGUUUCUCCUCCAGUGACAUUUGUUGUAGGAUUCAGGGGAAGAAUUUCUGUCUGGGCUCUCAGUGGCUUAUCACCGAAUCACACGGAAUUAUCUAGUAAAGGAACAGCAGAAAGAGACCCAAAAGCUACUGGCAGCUAAUUGGGAUCUCUGAGUCAUCUGAGAUGAUGACUAAGUAACCUAGCACUUUGGAAAAGUUUGGACCUAAAAUCCCAGGGGAAUUCUGUCCCCGCAUGCCCUUCCCAC